GAUGAACGCUGGCGGCGUGCCUAAUACAUGCAAGUCGAGCGAACAGACGAGGAGCUUGCUCCUCUGACGUUAGCGGCGGACGGGUGAGUAACACGUGGAUAACCUACCUAUAAGACUGGGAUAACUUCGGGAAACCGGAGCUAAUACCGGAUAAUAUAUUGAACCGCAUGGUUCAAUAGUGAAAGACGGUUUUGCUGUCACUUAUAGAUGGAUCCGCGCCGCAUUAGCUAGUUGGUAAGGUAACGGCUUACCAAGGCGACGAUGCGUAGCCGACCUGAGAGGGUGAUCGGCCACACUGGAACUGAGACACGGUCCAGACUCCUACGGGGGGCAGCAGUAGGGAAUCUUCCGCGAAGGGCGAAAGCCUGACGGAGCAACGCCGCGUGAGUGAUGAAGGUCUUCGGAUCGUAAAACUCUGUUAUUAGGGAAGAACAAAUGUGUAAGUAACUAUGCACGUCUUGACGGUACCUAAUCAGAAAGCCACGGCUAACUACGUG
rnacentral:rRNA from 1 species